AUUGAACGCUGGCGGCAUGCCUUACACAUGCAAGUCGAACGGCAGCACGGGUGCUUGCACCUGGUGGCGAGUGGCGAACGGGUGAGUAAUACAUCGGAACAUGUCCUGUAGUGGGGGAUAGCCCUGCGAAAGCCGGAUUAAUACCGCAUACGAUCCACGGAUGAAAGCGGGGGACCUUCUGGCCUCGCGCUAUUGUGUUUGCCGAUGGCUGAUUAGCUUGUUGGUGGGGUAAAGGCCUACCAAGGCGACGAUCAGUAGCUGGUAUGAGAGGACGACCAGCCACACUGGGACUGAGACACGGCACAGACUCCGACGGGAGGCAGCAGUGGGGAAUAUUGGACAAUGGGCGAAAGCCUGAUCCAGCAAUGCCGCGUGUGUGAAGAAGGACUUCGGGUUGUAAAGCACUUUUGUCCGGAAAGAAAACAUUGACUAUAAUACAGUCGGGGGAUGACGGUACCGGAAGAAUAAGCACCGGCUAACUACGUG
rnacentral:rRNA from 1 species